GGAAGAGCUAAUGCCAAUACUCAAACUAUUCCACAAAAUAGAAACUGACAGAACUUUGUCAAACUCAUUCUAUGAGGCCACAGUCACCCUGAUAGCUAAACUAUACAAAGACUCAACAAAGAAAGAGAAUUUCAGACAGCAUUCUGUCUAAGCUCCACCCCCACUGUAACCUGGCAACAGCCAGGCAUGCUCCGCCCCACAGUUACCUGGCAACAGCCAGGUAUGCCUGAUACUGUAAACGGGGCUGAGUGCCCUCUCCUCACUUUCUUGUUCUUGUUCCCUCUUGCUCUCUCUUGCUCUUCCCCUCUUCCCCCUUUGUCCCUGCUCUGCCCAUCUCCCUCCCCACUUCUUUCUAUGCUCAUGGCCGGCCUCUACUCCUCUCCUCCUCUCCUCUUCUAUUCUUUUUCUUCUCUCUCUCUCAUCCCUCUCCCUUGUCCUUUCGUUAAACCUUUCCAAGUGGAACCAUGUUGGCCUGGUGUGGUUUGUCCAGACGCAAGCCAAGAUUUCUACCUCAACACAGACCAAUUUCUCUUAUGAAAAUUGAUUAAAAAAAUACUCACGAACUGAAUCUAAGAGCACAUCAAAGGCAUCAUCCACCAUGAUCGAAUAGGCUUCAUUUCAGGGCAGCACCUGACCUCAUUUGCAUAUUGCUGUUUGGUUACCAUCCUUAACCAGAGGAAAAUUUGACCGCAGAGACAUUGACCUAUCCAUUUUUCAAAAAGUGGGAAAAGGAUUUCUUCCCCCACCAACUCUGCAGGACAACGCCUACUUCCUUUUGCCUUUGCUGGUAUUGGUUAUGGCAAGUACUAAAAAUACUUGUUUCUUU